rnacentral:tRNA from 1 species
GUUUUAAUAAUUUAAUAAAAAUAUUGAUUUUGUAAAUCAAAUUUGGGUAGUCCCUUAAAUCA